GACGAACGCUGGCGGCGUGCUUAACACAUGCAAGUCGAACGGAAAGGCCCUGCUUUUGUGGGGUGCUCGAGUGGCGAACGGGUGAGUAACACGUGAGUAACCUGCCCUUGACUUUGGGAUAACUUCAGGAAACUGGGGCUAAUACCGGAUAGGAGCUCCUGCUGCAUGUUGGGGGUUGGAAAGUUUCGGCGGUUGGGGAUGGACGCGCGGCUUAUCAGCUUGUUGGUGGGGUUGGGGUUUACCAGGGCUUUGACGGGUAGCCGGUCUGAGAGGGUGACCGGCCACAUGGGGACUGAGAUAGGGCCCAGACUCCUACGGGAGGCAGCAGUGGGAAAUAGUGCACAAUGGGCGGAAGCGAGAUGGAGAAACGCCGCGUGCGGGAUGAGGGCCUUCGGGUUGUAAACCGCUUUCGCCUGUGACGAAGCGUGAGUGACGGUAAUGGGUAAAGAAGCACCGGCUAACUACGUG
rnacentral:rRNA from 1 species